AGCGGGGUAGAGGAAUUGGUCAACUCAUCAGGCUCAUGACCUGAAGACUGCAGGUUCGAAUCCUGUCCCUGCCU
rfam:Triticum aestivum genome assembly, contig: Triticum_aestivum_CS42_TGACv1_scaffold_147402_2BS